CAGUAGCCGCGGUAAUACGUAGGGUGCAAGCGUUAAUCGGAAUUACUGGGCGUAAAGCGUGCGCAGGCGGUUAUAUAAGACAGAUGUGAAAUCCCCGGGCUCAACCUGGGAACUGCAUUUGUGACUGUAUAGCUAAAGUACGGCAGAGGGGGAUGGAAUUCCGCGUGUAGCAGUGAAAUGCGUAGAUAUGCGGAGGAACACCGAUGGCGAAGGCAAUCCCCUGGGCCUGUACUGACGCUCAUGCACGAAAGCGUGGGGAGCAAACAGGAUUAGAUACCCCCGUAGUCCCUGUCUCUUAUAC
rnacentral:rRNA from 1 species